AUCCGCGGCGUCUCGCGUUUAAACCGAGCGCGAGGACAUGGGUGCGCAGCCGUGAAUUAGUCCACAACGCGUUUACUGAGCUCGCGCGCACAUCGACUGUCAGCUGCUGUCAUUAACCAGACAGUUAUUUUAAAGCAACCUUAAAAUAAUAAAAUAAUAAAAAAAAUUGUCAUUUCUCAGCACUUGUGUGUCAUCUUACCUGCACUUUGCCGUGUUCGGGACUGAGGUGAAUAAUGGACCAGGACAAGUACCUGCCCGAGCUGCUGGCCGAGAAAGAGAGCUUGGAUCCGUCGUUCGUGCACGCGAUGCGCCUUCUGGCUGAAGAAAUCGAGAAGUACGAAGGGGACGAGCUUAGGAAAGACGGCGAGGUGAAGAAAUACCUGGAUGUCAUCAGCAACAAAAACAUCAAGCUGUCAGAGAGAGUGCUUAUUCCUGUGCAGCAGUACCCGAAGUUUAAUUUUGUUGGGAAACUGCUGGGGCCCCGGGGCAAUUCCAUGAAAAGAUUACAAGAGGAAACCGGAGCGAAGAUGUCCAUCCUUGGCAAGGGCUCAAUGAGAGAUAAAGACAAGGAAGAAGAGCUGAGGAAAAGUGGGGAAGCUAAAUAUGCCCAUUUGAACAACGAUCUCCAUGUUUUAAUUGAAGUCUUCGCACCACCUGGAGAGGCGUAUUCCCGCAUGAGCCAUGCCUUGGAGGAAAUUAAAAAAUUCCUGGUUCCUGAUUACAAUGAUGAGAUCAGACAAGAGCAGCUGCGUGAGCUGUCCUACCUAAACGGCUCUGACGACCCAAGCAGAGGAAGAAGUGUCCGAGGACGUGGCAUACGGCUCACCUCCACAGCUGCCACACGGGGUCGAGGAGGAGCAGUGCCACCUCCUCCGCCUGGCCGAGGAGCCGUAGUGCCCAGGGGAACUGUGGGUACACGUUCGUCUCUGCCCACUACCAUGCUAACCAGAGGCGUCUCAGCACCACGGGCCAGAGGAACAGCAGGGACUCCGGGUUACAGAGCACCUCUGCUGCAGGCCACACACAAAACAUACGAUGACUAUGGUUAUGAUGAUGGAUAUGAUGGGGAAUAUGACGAACAGGGUUAUGAGGCCUACGAUGAUGGCUACAGCAACCAGUCUAAAAGCGGUUCAGAAUAUUACGAAUAUGGCCAUGGAACCAACGACGAUACCUACAACAAUUACGCUGAAGAGGAGUGGACUCAGCCGCGGCCGAGCCUCAAAGCUCCGACUGCAAGACUUUCACGAGGGGGCUACAGAGAUCACCCCUAUGGUAGAUUCUAAAGGUCUCUUUCCAUGAGCUGUGAUACAGAAAUCAUCAGAAGAGAUUCACUGCAGUGUGUAUAAAGGACUGAAGGCUGAUAAAACCACAGCAGAGAAGUAAUCUCACCUGCUGGAUGUGAUAAUCAGCUCCACUCAUCAACAGCCUGCUGCUACCUCACGGCCUGCUGUGUAACAGAAACAGGAUUUGAGCCACAGCAGAUAUUUGGAGCUGUCCAUGAUUCCUUCUGUCUUGAAUAGAGCCACACUCCCAGCUAAAGAGAAGCAGCACCAGAACAUGAUGCUAUCGCCACCAGGCUUCGCUGUAGGCUCCUGUGGAGGCAGCCAGAGGAGAGCAACGUCCUCUCUGUCCUUUCCAACAGACCAGAGCAGAUGAUCAGCCUCAAGGCCUCUUACUGAACACAGCUGUCCAAAGACCAUCAGCAGGUCAGUGAAGCUAUGAUAUCAUACACUGUUCUGUUCAUCACUUGAAUUUUGUAGUGUUUUAUGUUUUUGGUUGCUCAGUGUUAUUGCAGUGCUGGCUCAGCAGCUUGUGCCACUGAUCAGAAGGUCAUGAGUUCAAGCCCCAGCACUGCCAAGCUGCUACUGUUGGGCCUUUGAGUGAGACCCUUGGCCUUCUCUGCUCCAGCGGCACUGUAUCUCUGACCCCAGCUUCCUAACAAGCUAGGAUGUGUGCAGAAACGAAUUUCAUUCCACUGUACUUGUAUACAUGACAAUAAAGGCUUUCUUCUAAAUCCUCCAAAUGACUUGUACAUUCAAUAUCAUGUUGGAAUAAACUGAUGUUAGAAUCAAUGCAACACUUUACUACAGAUUCGGCAGAAGCCUUCAAGCAUAUUUAACUGAAUAUUAAAUCUAAAGCUCACUAAUAUUGAGUGGGUUGGGCAAUCUGAGAAUAUAAUAUCAAUAUCAUAAUUAAUUGAGUCACAAUACACCUUUCUGAUAUAUUGUGAUAUCUUUUUGUGUGUCUGUUGAUCUUUAAAAUUGUAAAAUGUUUUUUGUUUGUUUGUUUUACGAAUAUUGUUGUAGAAUAUAAAAAAUAAAGUACAUUAUUACAUGCAACACUACAGUAUUGUGGGCAGUUUGUGACUAAACCUAUAUAUCAUAUAUCAUAGAAAUGGCUUUUGGUCAUAUCGCCCACCCUUAAAAGUUCUAUUCAAUUCAAUUCUGUUCUAUUCUAUUUUGUAUGGCGCUUUUCACAGUCCGCAUUAUCACAAAGCAGCUUUACAGACA